AGGACGAACGCUGGCGGCGUGCUUCAUACAUGCAAGUCGAACGAUAAGGUCUCUUCGGAGAUACAUAAGUGGCGGACGGGUGAGUAAAAAUGUAGAGAAUCUGCCCUAGAGAGUGGGACAACAGAGGGAAACUUCUGCUAAUACCGCAUAUGAGCGUAGCUGAGAUGCUAUUCUUGAAAACUCCGGUGCUCUAGGAUGAGUCUGCAUCUGAUUAGCUAGUUGGGGGUGUAAUGGACCACCAAGGCGACGAUCAGUAGCUGGUUUGAGAGGAUGAUCAGCCACAAUGGGACUGAGACACGGCCCAUACUCCUACGGGAGGCAGCAGUAGGGAAUUUUGCGCAAUGGGGGGAACCCUGAACCGCAGCAACGCCGCGUGACCGAUGAAGCCCUUCGGGGUGUAAAGGUCUGUCAGUGGGGACGAAGAAUGACGGUACCCACAGAGGAAGCAUCGGCUAACUCCGUGCCAGCCGCCGC
rnacentral:rRNA from 1 species